rnacentral:rRNA from 1 species
AUGAACGCUGGCGGUAUGCUUAACACAUGCAAGUCGAACGGUCUCUUCGGAGAUAGUGGCGGACGGGUGAGUAACGCGUGAGAAUCUGGCUCUAGGUCUGGGACAACAGUUGGAAACGACUGCUAAUACCGGAUGUGCCGAAAGGUGAAAGCUUGCUGCCUAGAGAUGAGCUCGCGUCUGAUUAGCUAGUAGGUGUGGUAAAGCAGCACCUAGCGACGAUCAGUAGCUGGUCUGAGAGGAUGAUCAGCCACACUGGGACUGAGACACGGCCCAGACUCCUACGGGAGGCAGCAGGGGGAAUUUCCGCAAUGGGCGAAAGCCUGAGGAGCAAUACCGCGUGAGGGAGGAAGGCUCUUGGGUUGUAAACCUCUUUUCUCAAGGAAUAAAAAAAUGAAGGUACUUGAGGAAUCAGCAUCGGCUACUCCGUGCCAGCAGCCGCGGUAAUACGGAGGAGCAAGCGUAUCGGAAUGAUUGGGGCGUAAGCGUCCGCAGGUGGCCCUGUAAGUCUGCUGUUAAAGAGUGAGGCUUAACCUCAUAAAAGCAGUGGAAACUACAGAGCUAGAGUGCGUUCGGGGCAGAAGGAAUUCCUGGUGUAGCGGUGAAAUGCGUAGAGAUCAGGAAGAACACCGGUGGCGAAGGCGUUCUGCUAGGCGCAACCGACACUGAGGGACGAAAGCUAGGGGAGCGAAUGGAUUAGAUACCCCAGUAGUCCUCGCCGUAAACGAUGGAUACUAGGCGUUGCGAGUAUCGACCCUCGCAGUGCCGGAGCCAACGCGUUAAGUAUCCCGCCUGGGGAGUACGCACGCAAGUGUGAAACUCAAAGGGAUUGACGGGGGCCCGCACAAGCGGUGGAGUAUGUGGUUUAAUUCGAUUGCAACGCGAAGAACCUUACCAAGACUUGACAUGUCGCGAACUCUUCUGCAAAGGAAGAGGUGCCUUCGGGAGCGCGAACACAGGUGGUGCAUGGCUGUCGUCAGCUCGUGUCGUGAGAUGUUGGGUUAAGUCCCGCAACGAGCGAAACCCUCGUUUUUAGUUGCCAGCAAUUAAGUUGGGCACUCUAGAGAGACUGCGGUGACAAACCGGAGGAAGGUGGGGAUACGUCAAGUCAGCAUGCCCCUACGUCUUGGGCUACACACGUACUACAAUGCGUCGAACAGAGGGCAGCAAGCUAGCGAUAGCAGAAAUCCCGGAAAUCGGCGCUCAGUUCAGAUCGCAGGCUGCAACUCGCCUGCGUGAAGGAGGAAUCGCUAGUAAUUGCAGGUCAGCAUACUUGCAGUGAAUUCGUUCCCGGGCCUUGUACACACCGCCCUUCACACCAUGGAAGCUGGUCCCGGCCCGAAGUCAUUACACCCCAACUUUUCGGGAGAGGGGAUGCCUAAGGUAGGACUGGUGACUGGGGUG